GGUCUCGCUGACUUCAGGAGUGAAGCUGCAGACCUUCGCGACAGACCUUCCACUGAAAAUAACUAUAAAAGCUGGAUAUAAAAACAAAACAAGAAUAAGUACAACCAUUUGAAGCCAUCAGCAAGAUACCAAGGAAGCUAAGUUUCCCCGAGAAUCUGGAGUUUCAAAAGACAAAGUGAAGAUCCUGUAGAAAAGAAAAACACAUCAAGGUGACAUAAUGAAAGAGUGAAAAAAAUAUGUAGCCUGGGUUCUACAGCCACCCCCUACAGCUCCACUUUCUGACUCAUGGCCAGGAGAGUGCUGACUCUGUUUUUCCAAGUCCGAGGGGAGUCCUUUGGUGUCCUGGAAAGGACUAUACGUGGAUGGCCCCUACACCAUGCUGACCUCUGGAGCUGAAAUCUGUAGCUGGCGCAUUUGCAGUUGAUCUCUGGGCUCCAUCUCAGCCGUGUAGCCCUCCCCCCAGUUUUGGCCCCAACCAGGUCCUUGCUGCCACCCCGACCUGAGUGCUCAGCCCUUCCCCAUAGCUAACAAUCAAAGCACUUUUGUGUAAUAUCUCAUCUGGCCAUUGUAAGGAUCAAGUGAGGCAGAGGAAAGGGCAGAUGUUAUAAAGCCCAAUUUACAAUUGGAGAAAUGGAGGUUCAGAAUGCAUCAAGAUGCACACAGCAAUACAACUGAGUGACUUCAAGCUGGGGACAUUCUAACUCAGAUGUCCUCAGCUGCAAAGCCAACUGGACUCCAGCCGUGCAGACCAUUGAGGAUGGAAAUGAUUGUAAAACCAAGAUGGACGAUGUUGAGAUGGCCUCAACCCUGCUAUUGAGAUUGGCCCUUAUGGAGGAGGAUAUUUGGUUCAGCAUUCAGAGUCUAAAGGGUACAGAGAGUGAGAAUUUAUUUCAGGCUGAUACCAAUAACCCCGAAGGCCCGGUCCAGCAGGCAGGGCAUACCUGAGAUGCAGGCAACAGGUAACAUGCAAAGUCAGGUGCACAGUGGGAUGUGGUUUGAGAGAUGAGUGCCCCUCCCCAGUGAGAUUUCCACAGCCAUCUGUGGGAUGGCGGACUGAUGUCAUUCUAGCUCCUUAAGAAGGGGCAAGAGCUCACUGGAGGCAGGGGCCUGGUGUGUAAGAGUCCUGGGUGGGAAUCAGAUCAGGCAAAGACCAGGAGAGAUUGGCAGGGGGCUGAAGGGUCAGGCCUAGAGACUGAGCCAGCAGGCAGCACAGAGGGCUCAUGGCACCAGGGCUUACCCCAAGCACAAAACCCUGAGAUGGAUUAGUCCCUAAUUUCAGACCUCUUUAGCUGUGGAUAGCUGACAUAUUUUCUUUCUCUGGGAUAAAUUAGAUCAGGACCUGGGAGGAUUGCAUUUUUUCUUUCUCUGGGAUAAAUUAGAUCAGGACCUGGGAGGAUUGCAUUUACUGGGAGAAGCCCUGGAAUACAAGAUUUGGUAUACUUAAAGGGAGCUCACAUUCCCUUCAACCUGGAGCAACUCACCUGGGAAUGUCUGAGUUGGCCUCAAAGUCUCAGGCAAAUCCAGACCUGUCUAAGGAAUGUGGAAGCUAAAACCAAUUUCACCUGGACCUUUGCCCCAUGGCAACAUCUUGCUCUGUGAAUUGCUGGCUACGUAUAUGGAAGUUGAAGAGAGAAGACAUGUUUUAGCCAAACAAGUAACACAAAUGAUUUUUAUUAUGGAAUUAAAUAAUUAUGUAGAUAUAUUAGAGCAAAGUUAUUUUAUCUGGAUUGCAUUUUGGCCUGUGCGUCCUAUUCAAAAACAAUCUUUAAAAAAAAAUUUACAUCCUCCUGCAAAACAUUUAUUUAAUUAAAAUGUGAAUGACGAGUACCAUAAUGGUCCCUUGAAAGCAGGAUAUGGGAAACAAGGGCAUUUGAAGGAAUAUGGAAAGAAACAACAGAAAGGAUUCUGGCUUUGAAAUUAGUAACCGGGCUUUCAUUCUGGGCUUUGACCCUGGCCAAGUCAUCUCAAGUCCCUGGUCCUUGUUUUCUGUACUGUUCUGCCUGUGUUACCCGCUUCUAACCUGAUUCAGGAGUCCUGGCCCCUUCCUUGACUUCUGGAGGUGUGGGUAGAAUCAAGAUAGAUGUCUCACUUGCCAGCUCUGGGGAGAUUCUAUCAACCUCAUGGUUGAGGGUAGAUAAUAGAUUAUCCCAAACCCUGCUCCAAGGUGUAAAUGUUAACAAGAUUCUACAAUCUCAGUCCCCACUCCAGUUGUGAUACGUUCAACAAGCCCCAGAUAGAUAACUUCACCUCCCCACCCUCACUUUCCUUUCCCUGCCCCAUCACGGUAACAACACACACCCCAAAACAAGUGAUAUCAGUAUUAUUAGGAGACUUGAAAAGUGCGAGCCAAAAAAAUGUAACCUUUGCCCAAUGUGAAGAUCCUUGUUGUUGAAGGUUUCCUGCGUUUCUUUUCUGAGUCAGGGUUCAUGUUCUUUUGGGACAUGCAGCAAUUACUCUGAUCACUAGAAAAGCCCACUGCUUUUGGACUGAUGUGACCCAAAUUGAAGAACCCUAAUACUCCCCAAAGCACAAGCACCAAAGAAAUAAUGCAGGUUGGCCAAAGCCCUUAACAACCUGCAUGAGGCCGACUGGCUGACCAUACUCCAACCUCCAAUCUCACACCCUGUUCUGAUUAUCAACUGUUACGUACAAAUGACCCCAACAUUUAGAGGCUUAGAACAAUGACCAUUUUAUUCUCUUUUUUAUUGAUGGGCUCAACUGAGCGAUUCUUCUGCUUCAAGUAGGGUCAACUGUGAGACCUGGACUCAAAAAAUACUCGAAACUUUAUAUAAUA